rnacentral:rRNA from 1 species
GACGAACGCUGGCGGCGUGCUUAACACAUGCAAGUCGAACGGAAAGGCCCUGCUUUUGUGGGGUGCUCGAGUGGCGAACGGGUGAGUAACACGUGAGUAACCUGCCCUUGACUUUGGGAUAACUUCAGGAAACUGGGGCUAAUACCGGAUAGGAGCUCCUGCUGCAUGGUGGGGGUUGGAAAGUUUCGGAGGUUGGGGAUGGACUCGCGGCUUAUCAGCUUGUUGGUGGGGUAGUGGCUUACCAAGGCUUUGACGGGUAGCCGGCAUGAGAGGGUGACCGGCGACAUUGGGACUGAGAGACGGCCCAGAGUCCUACGGGAGGCAGCAGUGGGGAAUAUUGUACAAUGGGCGGAAGCCUGAGGAAGCAGCGCCGCGUGCGGGAUGACGGCCUUCGGGGUGUAAACCGCUUUAGCCUGUGACGAAGCGUGAGUGACGGUAAUGGGUGAAGAAGCACCGGCUAACUACGUG